GUCUCUUCGGGGAUGAUUAAACCGGCGCACGGGUGAGUAACACGUGAGUGACCUGCCUUUUAGACUGGAACAACUUACCGAAAGGUGAGCUAAUGCCGGAUGAGUUAUAUAAGUGCAUGUUUAUAUAGGAAAAGUUGGGGAGACCUGACGCUGAAAGAUGGACUCGCGUCCCAUUAGCUAGUUGGUAGGGUAAUGGCCUACCAAGGCGACGAUGGGUAGCCGGCCUGAGAGGGUGGCCGGCCACACUGGGACUGAGACACGGCCCAGACUCCUACGGGAGGCAGCAGUGGGGAAUUUUGCGCAAUGCUCGUAAGAGUGACGCAGCGACGCCGCGUGAAUGACGAAGGCCUUCGGGUCGUAAAGUUCUUUCGACAGGGAAGAAAAUGCCUAUAAGUAACUGUGUAUGUAUUGACGGUACCUGUAUAAGCAGCCCCGGCUAACUCCGUGCCAGCAGCCGCGGUAAUACGGAGGGGGCGAGCGUUGUUCGGAGUGACUGGGCGUAAAGAGCACGUAGGCGGUGUUGUAAGUCAUUAGUCAAAGACUAGAGCUCAACUUUAGUAAGGCUAGUGAUACUAUAAUACUAGAGUAUCAGAGAGGAUUGCAGAAUUCCUGGUGUAGCGGUGAAAUGCGUAGAUAUCAGGAGGAAUACCGUUAGCGAAGGCGGCAAUCUGGCUGGAAACUGACGCUGAGGUGCGAAAGCGUGGGUAGCAAACAGGAUUAGAUACCCUGGUAGUCCACGCUGUAAACGAUGGAUGCUAGGUGUUGGGCUUUUAAGUUCAGUGCCGCAGCAAACGCGAUAAGCAUCCCGCCUGGGGAGUACGUUUGCAAGAAUGAAACUCAAAGGAAUUGACGGGGGCC
rnacentral:rRNA from 1 species